UACGAAGGGGGCUAGCGUUGUUCGGAAUUGCUGGGCGUAAAGCGCGUGUAGGCGGGUCUUUAAGUCAGGGGUGAAAUGCCAAGGCUCAACCUUGGAACUGCCUUUGAUACUGGAGAUCUUGAGUCCGGGAGAGGUGAGUGGAAUUGCGAGUGUAGAGGUGAAAUUCGUAGAGAUCCGGAGGAACACCGAAGGCGAAGUCAGUGUCCUGGCGCGUAACUGACGCUGAGGUGCGAAAGCCAGGGGAGCGAACGGG
rnacentral:rRNA from 1 species